AACGAACGCUGGCGGCAGGCUUAACACAUGCAAGUCGAACGCGUGUAGCAAUACACGAGUGGCGCACGGGUGAGUAACGCGUGGAUAUCUGCCUUUUGGUUCGGAAUAACCCCGGGAAACUGGGGCUAAUACCGGAUGGUUCCUUCGGGAUAAAGAUUUAUCGCCAAAAGAUGAGUCCGCGUACGAUUAGCUAGUUGGUGAGGUAAUGGCUCACCAAGGCGACGAUCGUUAGCUGGUCUGAGAGGACGAUCAGCCACACUGGGACUGAGACACGGCCCAGACUCCUACGGGAGGCAGCAGUGGGGAAUAUUGGACAAUGGGGGCAACCCUGAUCCAGCCAUGCCGCGUGAGUGAUGAAGGCCUUCGGGUUGUAAAGCUCUUUUGGCGGGGACGAUGAUGACGGUACCCGCAGAAUAAGCCCCGGCUAACUUCGUGCCAGCAGCCGCGGUAAGACGAAGGGGGCUAGCGUUGUUCGGAAUUACUGGGCGUAAAGCGCGUGUAGGCGGUUGUUCAAGUCGGGUGUGAAAGCCUUGAGCUCAACUCAAGAAAUGCACUCGGUACUGGAUGACUAGAGGACCGGAGAGGAUAGUGGAAUUCCCAGUGUAGUGGUGAAAUACGUAGAGAUUGGGAAGAACACCAGUGGCGAAGGCGGCUAUCUGGACGGUUUCUGACGCUAAGACGCGAAAGCGUGGGGAGCAAACAGG
rnacentral:rRNA from 1 species